rnacentral:rRNA from 1 species
AUUGAACGCUGGCGGCAGGCCUAACACAUGCAAGUCGAGCGGAGCGGCGGACGGGUGCGUAAUGCUUGGGAAUCUGCAUGGUAGUGGGGGAUAACGUCCGGAAACGGGCGAUAAUACCGCAUACUAUCAGAUGAGCCUAGGUCGGAUUAGCAAGUUGGUGGGGUAAAGGCAUACCAAGGCGACGAUCCGUAACUGGUCUGAGAGGAUGACCAGUCACACUGGGACUGAGACACGGUCCAGACUCCUACGGUAGGCAGCAGUGGGGAAUUUUGGACAAUGGGCGAAACCCUGAUCCAGCCAUGCCGCGUGUGUGAAGAAGGUCUUCGGAUUGUAAAGUACUUUAAGUUGGGAGGCGUUACCAACAGAAUAAGCACUGGCUAACUUCGUGCCAGCAGCCGCGGUAAUAC